rnacentral:rRNA from 1 species
UACGUAGGGGGCAAGCGUUGUCCGGAAUCAUUGGGCGUAAAGCGCGUGUAGGCGGCUGGCUAAGUCCGCUCUGAAAGCCCGGGGCUCAACCCCGGGAGGCGGGUGGAUACUGGUCAGCUCGAGUCCGGAAGAGGAGUGUGGAAUUCCUGGUGUAGCGGUGAAAUGCGCAGAUAUCAGGAGGAACACCAAUUGCGAAGGCAGCUCGCUGGGACGUUACUGACGCUGAGACGCGAAAGCGUGGGGAGCAAACAGG